AACGAGCUUUCCUAUUAUCACACCGCCACCGCUUGAGUCUAUUGAAGAGGCUAGAGGAGUGGUUUCGAGUGUGACUACUUCUUCUUCUUCGUCUUUUCUUCUUUUACGAGCUCUGAGGUUCAAACCGAGCACAACACAGACGCCAAAGAGGAUCACGGCUGCAGCAACUAUGACAAUGAUAACCGAAACGCUUAGAGCUUCAGAGUUUCUUGAUUUCCCUGUGGCGGCUCCACGUGAGUUGCAGGGAGUGGUUACAAGAGGAUCACCGCAAAGGAGAGGGUUGUUUUCAAAUGCAGAAGCUCCAAAAGCUUGUAAAGCCGGAGCAGGAGGGAUAACACCUGAGAGAUUGUUGUGGGAGACGUUGAAAUGCGUUAGCCUGUUCAAGCUCCCGAGGGAAGAAGGGAUUGAGCCUGAAAGAGAGUUCUGCGAAAGAUCGAGAAACUGGAUUCUGGAGAGGCUUCCAAGCUCAGAUGGAAUACUUCCGUUGAUGCGGUUACCAUGCAGGUCAAGAAUCUCCAGGUUUGUUAAGUUUAGUAGCUUCUUAGGGAUCUCUCCUUCUAACUCAUUCCCUGAAACAUCUCUGCAAAGCAACAACAAUGAGAGAGAGAUUCAUAUACAGUAACAAAAAUCAAAACAUCAAAACACUCACAGUUCAAGAAGUAAUCUGCAAUUUGAGACAUCCUCUGGAAUCUCACCAACUAAGUUGAGAUCAUGCAGAUUCAAAACCUGUAGAUACUCCAAGCUUCCAAUCUCCUUUGUUAUCUCCCCAUCUAUAGAGUUACCACCUAAUCUAACAACCGAGAGCUUCUCCAUCUUCCCAAUACCUCCAGGGAUACUCCCGCUCAGCUUGUUAGACUCCAAGUCCAAAAGCUUGAGACUUUUGCAACCAGUCACACCACUAGAGAUCCCACCGGUUAACUCAUUAGACGAAGCAUCCAAAAACUCCAACCUUUGACCACAACCAACAACCUCUCCAAUCUCCCCACCAAACCGGUUCCAGGAGACGUUAACAUAAGUUAUGUUCACGAACCCAAGAACCUCAAAAGGCCCUGACCCUUGGAACAUAUUGCUCCCCAGGUCAACAUGGCUCAGUCUCUUACACUUCACCACCUCCUCAGAGACAUCACCAGACAAGAGAUUAUUCCUCACAGAGAUAUACUCAAGCACAGGAAUAUCACAGACCCCAGGCGGUAGCACUCCGUUAAGACUGUUGUAAGAGAAGUCAAACCCUACGAGGUUGUUACAGUUCGCUACUGUAUCAGGGAUUGGUCCGGAGAGGUUGUUACGAGACAAAGACACGAACUUGGUCUUGUCGCAGUACCUAAACAGAGAAGUAGGAAUCUCACCGGAGAAGCCGUUUCUAGACAAGUCGAGAAACCUUAAGCUAGUUAACCCACCGAUGAACUCAGGGGUCGGACCGGACAACGCGUUGGAGCUAACGUUAAUGGUCCAUAAAGUCUGUAACUUUGAGUAAUCCAGCGGUAGGUUACCUGUAAACCUGUUGCCAAACAAGGUCAGAACUCGAAUAGACUUUAGACCGGAGAGACUCGGAGUCAAGCUUCCGGCGAGACUCGUGUUCCAGAGGACGAUCUUGUCAACGAAUCCUUCAGGGUUACAAGCGACUCCAUUGAAGCUAUUGCAGAUGUCUCCGUCGAGGGUCCAAGAGGCUAAGCUGUUGUAAGGAUCGUCAGUGAUGCUGUCUUUGAACUGAAGCAGAAUGUCUCGCUCCUCUUCGAUUGUAACAAGAGAGCAACACGGAGAAGUUGAAAUGUAUACGAAAACCAGAAAAAGGUAAACCCUUUUCAUGGUUGAACUCAGGCUGAUUAAACGGAUCUACCCAGUUGACAUUACCGGUUCAGGAUCCGAAACCGAACCCGGUUCGUCAAUCUACAAUCUUUCUUCCAGAAUCAAGAAGAAAGCAGGUGCAUUUGCUAACCCAAUGAAACGAAACGGUUGAUUUUUAUUGGGAUUGAGAGAGCUCAAGCUAUGAACUUUUCAACUGCUUUGACAUUUAUGUAUGGUCGUCAUCCCUUAACGGCUAGAAAAAAAAAUUUACCGACCAAAGGUCAAAGCUUUCGUGAAAGAAACGACAAAAGAAAAAGGAAGCACAGAGUCAGAGCACAAAAUGAGAUUUUGGGGUUCUGCAAGUUUUCGAAUACAAGAGAAGAGAACUAUGCGCAGCUCAGCUUGCAAUACAGAGAAGCGAGUGUGUGACUUGUGGCUUGGCUGGAAAGUAAGUUCUCUCGCUCUGGCUUCCACCAAAUGAAGAGGAAGCACGUGCUUGGCUUUGUUCAUCACCUAUAUGUUUUUAAGUAAGGGGGAAGAGUAAGUGUCUGCUUGUCUGUAGUCUUUUCUUCUUUUACGAGCUCUGAGGUUCAAACCGAGCACAACACAGACGCCAAAGAGGAUCACGGCUGCAGCAACUAUGACAAUGAUAACCGAAACGCUUAGAGCUUCAGAGUUUCUUGAUUUCCCUGUGGCGGCUCCACGUG
rnacentral:lncRNA from 1 species